rnacentral:rRNA from 1 species
UGGGGAAUUUUGGACAAUGGGCGAAAGCCUGAUCCAGCAAUGCCGCGUGUGUGAAGAAGGCCUUCGGGUUGUAAAGCACUUUUGUCCGGAAAGAAAUCCUUGGCUCUAAUACAGUCGGGGGAUGACGGUACCGGAAGAAUAAGCACCGGCUAACUACGUGCCAGCAGCCGCGGUAAUACGUAGGGUGCAAGCGUUAAUCGGAAUUACUGGGCGUAAAGCGUGCGCAGGCGGUUUGCUAAGACCGAUGUGAAAUCCCCGGGCUCAACCUGGGAACUGCAUUGGUGACUGGCAGGCUAGAGUAUGGCAGAGGGGGGUAGAAUUCCACGUGUAGCAGUGAAAUGCGUAGAGAUGUGGAGGAAUACCGAUGGCGAAGGCAGCCCCCUGGGCCAAAUACUGACGCUCAUGCCACGAAAGCGUGGGGAGCAAACAGGAUUAGAUACCCUGGUAGUCCACGCCCUAAACGAUGUCAACUAGUUGUUGGGGAUUCAUUUCCUAGUAACGUAGCUAACGCGUGAAGUUGACCGCCUGGGGAGUACGGUCGCAAGAUUAAAACUUAAAUGAAUUGACGGGGU